UGUGAAUGACAAUCAAUCUAUCACUUGAGCCAGAGAGUUGAGCUUCAUAGUGAUCCCUUUCAUUCCCAAUGUUUGGAAAGUGAUCACUCCCACUAACCAAGUCAUUCUCAAGAAAUUUUGCAUUUCUUGACUCCACAAUCCUAGUGUUAUGUGAUGGGCAAUAGAAUCUACAUCCCUUAGACUUUUCAGCAUAUCCAAUGAAAUACCCACUAAUAGUCCUUGGGUCUAGUUUAUUCUCUUGUGGAUUAUAAAUUCUCACUUUAGAC
rnacentral:lncRNA from 1 species